GUCUGGAGUCAAGGGACAGAAGAAAUGCCCAGACCCAUGCCCAGACCCAUGCCCACCAUGUCCUCCACCACAACAAUGCCAGGACCCCUGCAAGCCAUGCCCUGAGCCUCCAAAAUGUCAAGAUCCUUGCAAACCUUGUCCCCCGCCGUGUCAGGACAAGAAAUGUGUGAAGAAGUGAAAAUGACAUCAACGAAGACAACGUUGGAAACUACAAUGCUGGGCAAUGGCCCCCAACUGGAUGAUCUAAACACCUCUCUAUUUAAUAAUUAUAUCAUGGCUUUUUUUUCUGGUUUUCCUGGUGACAAAUACACUUUGAUAUUGCUUUCUGAGAUAAUUAAUUAAAAUUAAAAAGCAGCGUGAAAA